GCAGUUAACACAGUCUGUGCUGGUUUCUUUAGUCAGUGAUUCAAGCUCAGAUUUGUCUUUUUGUUAAAGGGUGAUAGGGUUGAAGCAACAGGAUGAGAGAUCUCAAGCAUGCUACUGAAUGUUGUGCUCUGACAAAACGCCAUAGCUUCCUUUAUCAAGACAGCUGUGUUUUUAAAUAAAUGAUCUUAAUUUGGCCUGCAGAAGGAUUAUGCCUGAUACUCAAAUGUAAUACCUUGAAAGGUCACCUUGACUUCCUCAAGAAGUUUAAUUCAAGGCAUUCAGGAUGCCAGACCAGAAGGCCUCCCAGACUGAGAUCAUCUAGAAACUCCAUUCUAUCUGAACUACAGAAAGUCUAGGGAAGAAAAAAAAAAACUUUAGCGGGGUAAACUCUGCAACAAGCUUAAAAGAAUUCCAAGAGCAAGAUGUAAAUUCUUCAGCCAAUGGAGUUUGUGGCAUAUAUUCAACAUCUAUUGUUACAACUAAGACAGACUGAUCUGAGCUGAAAAUAUCAAUAACAGGAAUUGCUGGAACAACAUAAGCCUGCUUUGUAUGCACAUCUUGUGCUGCUGGGGAGCCACUCCUACCUCACAAUUUGAUUUGACACCAAGUUCUCCAGCAGAAAGGAGACACAUCUGACAGAAGGGCAGCCCAUGGAAAGACAAAACUGUCAAAGAAAGAAGGAAGCGAAAACAAUCCAACUGAGCAUUUCCUUGCAAUGCAUCCUUUCCCUGGGAAGACAAGAAACUGCAUUUCAGCUGCUGUAGAAAAAGCACAAGCCAGAUGUGGAGUUCAAUGCCAGUGCAUCGACUAACAGGACAAAAAAUGUGCACAGGAGGUGUCAAACCCCAGAAUGCAGCAGCACAGAGGAGCUGAAGGGGUUCUUUCUUCUCCUCCACUUGGGUGCUUCAAGCAGUGGAGCUAAUGCAGCUCCAUUGGCGGAGCAGAUGAGCAUGGCAUCCUUAAUGCCCUGUGGCCUAGCAGAUUAAUUGUGCAACCAUUGUCCUCCCACUUUUCCUGCAUAUUAAAUUGGAGCUAAUGAGUCAUUAUCUGUGGUCUGCUUGGAAGAAUGGGUUGUUUGUUCAGCACUUUGAAAUCGUAAAUCAAUAUAUACUGCAAACGUGAUGUGCUGCCUACAACUUCAUUCAACAGAGAGCAGCAUUGGACAGGAAAAAAUGAUGUAUCACCCUGGCUCUUAAUGCUGCCCUCUGCAGAAUCUGGUGAUGCGGGUGACUCCUGGGUGUCUGUCUGGAGAGCAAGUAUGAUGGAAGGGGGCUUAUUCACCAUCUCCUGUGGGCAAAGUGAGCAAACCUAAAUGAAGUAAGAGGAAGAUAUAAAUGGUGAUCACCUGAAUCAUUCUGACAUCCAUAGAGUUACUAUUCAUUUAGUAAGCCAAUGACACAAGUAUUUCCUUUGGUACUCCAAGGUUCUCUCCAGGCAUAUCAGGCAGUAUUUUCAGACAAGCACUUAAAAAAAAAAAAAAAAAAGGAAAAAAAAAAAAAGGAAAAAAGUCACAUACAUUCUGUGGCUACUUCUUAGGAUUGCCUUAAAUGUUGUCUUUAGAAUUCAAGGAAGUUUAGGAAAAAAAUCUAUUUCUCUUUCUGACAUAGCAUUUUCUGAGAUAGGUUGCAGCAGCUUUCAGGGCUCCCUGGAGUACAGCAUUUUGAGAGAGAUAGCAUUUCCAGGCUCUGUUCAGCGCCACACCACCCCCUGUGCUUCUCCUCCUUCACUCCAGGGCUCUUCCCAGGGAUGCUCUGAAAAUAGAGAAGAUUUACCACCUGUAGGACUGCAGCUGGUACUGAAAGACUGCUGGAAAAAAAAGAAAAAAAAAAAAAAAGGCAAAUAAGGUUCACUGUAUUCACAUUUUGCCAGUUCUCUUCAACAAUUGACAAGUCCUAACAAAUCUCUGCAUCAGUAUUUCUAAGAUAUAGUUGCAAGAAGCUGCGCUUAGGUUUCGGUUUUCAGGAUUAACUCUGCCUUUUUAUUUUCUGCUUAUGCUGUAAGCAUAACGCUCCAGGUUAAGGGCUUAAAACAGAAUUUACAGUGAAUCCAGAGCAUAUACUCAUUUGUGUGACUUUGUAAUUGUAAUUCUGAAUGCAAAAAUGUUACCCUUCCUUUUCCUGUGGUUUGCAAUGACAUGUGUGACAGUAAGCAGUGUGACCAAGACUGAAAUUCAUUAUAUGCAGUCCACCUCACCUUACCCAAAAUACGUGGAUGACUGUUAAAAUACCAUAAUUAUGCACAAAGGAGAAAGAAAGAGGGAGAGUGUGUUUUUUUUCUUUUUUUUCUUCUCCUUUUUUUCUUUUUUAAUUUAUAUCAGGC
rnacentral:lncRNA from 1 species